rnacentral:rRNA from 1 species
GACGAACGCUGGCGGCGUGCUUAACACAUGCAAGUCGAACGGAAAGGCCCUGCUUUUGUGGGGUGCUCGAGUGGCGAACGGGUGAGUAACACGUGAGUAACCUGCCCUUGACUUUGGGAUAACUUCAGGAAACUGGGGCUAAUACCGGAUAGGAGCUGCUGCUGCAUGGUGGGGGGUGGAAAGUUUCGGCGGUUGGGGAUGGACGCGCGGCUUAUCAGCUUGUUGGUGGGGGAGUGGCUUACCAAGGAUGUGACGGGUAGCCGGCCGGAGAGGGUGACCGGCGACAUUGGGACUGCGGUACGGCCCAGAGUCGUACGGGAGGCAGCAGUGGGGAAUAUUGCACAAUGGGACGAAGUCUGAUGCAGAAACGCCGCGUUCGUGAUGCCGGCCUUCUGGUUGUAAACCGCUUUCGCCUGUGACGAAGCGUGAGUGACGGUAAUGGGUAAAGAAGCACCGGCUAACUACGUG